UACGUAGGGUGCGAGCGUUAAUCGGAAUUACUGGGCGUAAAGGGUGUGUAGGCGGUUGUUUAAGUUUGGUGUGAAAUCUCCCGGCUCAACUGGGAGGGUGCGCCGAAUACUGAAUGACUUGGAGUGCGGGAGAGGAAAGUGGAAUUCCUGGUGUAGCGGUGAAAUGCGUAGAUAUCAGGAGGAACACCGGUGGUGUAGACGGCUUUCUGGACCGUAACUGACGCUGAGACACGAAAGCGUGGGUAGCAAACAGG
rnacentral:rRNA from 1 species